GAUGAACGCUGGCGGCGUGCCUAAUACAUGCAAGUCGAGCGAACUGAUUAGAAGCUUGCUUCUAUGACGUUAGCGGCGGACGGGUGAGUAACACGUGGGCAACCUGCCUGUAAGACUGGGAUAACUUCGGGAAACCGAAGCUAAUACCGGAUAGGAUCUUCUCCUUCAUGGGAGAUGAUUGAAAGAUGGUUUCGGCUAUCACUUACAGAUGGGCCCGCGGUGCAUUAGCUAGUUGGUGAGGUAACGGCUCACCAAGGCAACGAUGCAUAGCCGACCUGAGCGGGUGACCGGCCACACUGGGACUGAGACACGGCCCAGACUCCUACGGGAGGCAGCAGUAGGGAAUCUUCCGCAAUGGACGAAAGUCUGACGGAGCACCGCCGCGUGAGUGAUGAAGGCUUUCGGGUCGUAAAACUCUGUUGUUAGGGAAGAACAAGUACGAGAGUAACUGCUCGUACCUUGACGGUACCUAACCAGAAGCCACGGCUAACUACGUGCCAGCCGCCGCCGUAAAAC
rnacentral:rRNA from 1 species